rnacentral:rRNA from 1 species
UAGGGAAUCUUCCACAAUGGACGCAAGUCUGAUGGAGCAACGCCGCGUGAGUGAAGAAGGUCUUCGGAUCGUAAAGCUCUGUUGUUGGUGAAGAAGGAUAGAGGCAGUAACUGGUCUUUAUUUGACGGUAAUCAACCAGAAAGUCACGGCUAACUACGUGCCAGCAGCCGCGGUAAUACGUAGGUGGCAAGCGUUGUCCGGAUUUAUUGGGCGUAAAGCGAGCGCAGGCGGAAUGAUAAGUCUGAUGUGAAAGCCCACGGCUCAACCGUGGAACUGCAUCGGAAACUGUCAUUCUUGAGUGCAGAAGAGGAGAGUGGAACUCCAUGUGUAGCGGUGGAAUGCGUAGAUAUAUGGAAGAACACCAGUGGCGAAGGCGGCUCUCUGGUCUGCAACUGACGCUGAGGCUCGAAAGCAUGGGUAGCGAACAGGAUUAGAUACCCUGGUAGUCCAUGCCGUAAACGAUGAGCGCUAGGUGUUGGGACUUUCCGGUUCUCAGUGCCGC